GUAGGUGGCAAGCGUUGUCCGGAAUUAUUGGGCGUAAAGCGCGCGCAGGUGGUUCUUUAAGUCUGAUGUGAAAGCCCCCGGCUCAACCGGGGAGGGUCAUUGGAAACUGGGGAACUUGAGUGCAGGAGAGGAAAGUGGAAUUCCACGUGUAGCGGUGAAAUGCGUAGAUAUGUGGAGGAACACCAGUGGCGAAGGCGACUUUCUGGCCUGUAACUGACACUGAGGCGCGAAAGCGUGGGGAGCAAACAGGGAUUAGAUACCCUGGUAGUCCACGCCGUAAACUAUGAGUGCUAAGUGUUGGGGGGGUUUCCCGCCCCUCAGUGCUGCAGCUAACGCAUUAAGCACUCCGCCUGGGGAGUACGGUCGCAAGACUG
rnacentral:rRNA from 1 species